rnacentral:rRNA from 1 species
AGAGUUUGAUCAUGGCUCAGGAUAAACGCUGGCGGCGCACAUAAGACAUGCAAGUCGAACGGACUUAACCGAAAUAUUUAUAUUUUGGAGCGGUUAGUGGCGGACUGGUGAGUAACGCGUAAGCAACCUGCCUAUUAGAGGGGAAUAACAGUGAGAAAUCAUUGCUAAUACCGCAUAUGCCAACAGUAUCGCAUGAUAAAGUUGGGAAAGGAGCAAUCCGCUAAUAGAUGAGCUUGCGUCUGAUUAGAUAGUUGGUGGGGUAACGGCCUACCAAGUCAACGAUCAGUAGCCGGACUGAGAGGUUGAACGGCCACAUUGGGACUGAGAUACGGCCCAGACUCCUACGGGAGGCAGCAGUCGGGAAUAUUGCGCAAUGGAGGAAACUCUGACGCAGUGACGCCGCGUAUAGGAAGAAGGUCUUCGGAUUGUAAACUAUUGUCGUUAGGGAAGAAAAAGGACAGUACCUAAGGAGGAAGCUCCGGCUAACUACGUGCCAGCAGCCGCGGUAAUACGUAGGGAGCGAGCGUUAUCCGGAUUUAUUGGGUGUAAAGGGUGCGUAGACGGGAGAACAAGUUAGUUGUGAAAUCCCUCGGCUCAACUGAGGAACUGCAGCUAAAACUAUUUUUCUUGAGUACGGGAGAGGAAAGCGGAAUUCCUAGUGUAGCGGUGAAAUGCGUAGAUAUUANGAGGAACACCAGUGGCGAAGCGGCUUUCUGGACCGUAACUGACGUUGAGGCACGAAAGUGUGGGGAGCAAACAGGAUUAGAUACCCUGGUAGUCCACACUGUAAACGAUGGAUACUAGUGUAGGUGUAUUANCAUCUGUGCGUCGCAAACGCAGUAGUAUCCCACUGGGAGUACGCGCAGUGAA